rnacentral:rRNA from 1 species
GGGUUGUGAGGUUAAGCGACUAAGCGUACACGGUGGAUGCCCUGGCAGUCAGAGGCGAUGAAGGACGUGCUAAUCUGCGAUAAGCGUCGGUAAGGUGAUAUGAACCGUUAUAACCGGCGAUUUCCGAAUGGGGAAACCCAGUGUGUUUCGACACACUAUCAUUAACUGAAUCCAUAGGUUAAUGAGGCGAACCGGGGGAACUGAAACAUCUAAGUACCCCGAGGAAAAGAAAUCAACCGAGAUUCCCCCAGUAGCGGCGAGCGAACGGGGAGGAGCCCAGAGCCUGAAUCAGUAUGUGUGUUAGUGGAAGCGUCUGGAAAGGCGCGCGAUACAGGGUGACAGCCCCGUACACAAAAAUGCACAUAUUGUGAGCUCGAUGAGUAGGGCGGGACACGUGGUAUCCUGUCUGAAUAUGGGGGGACCAUCCUCCAAGGCUAAAUACUCCUGACUGACCGAUAGUGAACCAGUACCGUGAGGGAAAGGCGAAAAGAACCCCGGCGAGGGGAGUGAAAAAGAACCUGAAACCGUGUACGUACAAGCAGUGGGAGCACGCUUAGGCGUGUGACUGCGUACCUUUUGUAUAAUGGGUCAGCGACUUAUAUUCUGUAGCAAGGUUAACCGAAUAGGGGAGCCGAAGGGAAACCGAGUCUUAACUGGGCGUUAAGUUGCAGGGUAUAGACCCGAAACCCGGUGAUCUAGCCAUGGGCAGGUUGAAGGUUGGGUAACACUAACUGGAGGACCGAACCGACUAAUGUUGAAAAAUUAGCGGAUGACUUGUGGCUGGGGGUGAAAGGCCAAUCAAACCGGGAGAUAGCUGGUUCUCCCCGAAAGCUAUUUAGGUAGCGCCUCGUGAA